AGAGUUUGAUCCUGGCUCAGGACGAACGCUGGCGGCGUGCUUAACACAUGCAAGUCUACGAGAAAGAGGUAGCAAUAUCUCAAGUAAAGUGGCGCAAGGGUGAGUAAUAUGUAAGUAAUCUACCUAUGGGUUCGGAAUAACGUCGAGAAAUCGGCGCUAAUACCGAAUAAUGCAGCGGCAUCGCAUGAUGAUGUUGUUAAAGUUGUCCCGACUUGUCGGGAUAACUCCUAUAGAUGAGCUUGCAUCUGAUUAGCUAGUUGGUAGGGUAAUUGCCUACCAAGGCUACGAUCAGUAGCUGGUCUGAGAGGAUGAUCAGCCACACUGGAACUGAGACACGGUCCAGACUCCUACGGGAGGCAGCAGUGAGGAAUAUUGGGCAAUGGACGGAAGUCUGACCCAGCAACGCCGCGUGGAGGAUGAAUGCCGUAAGGUUGUAAACUCCUUUUGAAGGGGACGAAUAUUCAAGUUCCGUAAGAAA
rnacentral:rRNA from 1 species